UACGGAGGAUCCAAGCGUUAUCCGGAUUUAUUGGGUUUAAAGGGUGCGUAGGCGGCUUUUUAAGUCAGGGGUGAAAGACGGUGGCUCAACCAUCGCAGUGCCUUUGAUACUGAGAAGCUUGAUUAAACUUGAGGCAGGCGGAAUGUGACAAGUAGCGGUGAAAUGCAUAGAUAUGUCACAGAACACCGAUUGCGAAGGCAGCUUGCUAAGGUUUUAAUGACGCUGAGGCACGAAAGCGUGGGGAUCAAACAGGAUUAGAUACCCUGGUAGUCCACGCCCUAAACGAUGAAUACUCGAUGUUAGCGAUAUACAGUUAGCGUCAAAGCGAAAGCGUUAAGUAUUCCACCUGGGGAGUACGCCCGCAAGGGUGAA
rnacentral:rRNA from 1 species